CAGACAAGAGACGAGCGCAAGGCUUUUCACUUGAAGGGGGAAGCAGUAGGAAGAAUCGAAGUAGACGUAAAGGAAUCUUCCAAACACGUAGAAGUCAAUCUGUCGGAUCUAAGAGGGUACGAGAAGCAUGUGAUAGUGGAACUAAUGAAGGAAACACAAACAAAGAACUCUAAACCUAAUAAAGCUUUGUCCAACGACCCUGAAGACUGUAGAACGAUUAUCUUAUGUGAAGCAGACAGAUUAAGCCCAGAUGCUUUGUUAUACAUCCGAUGGCUGUUAGAAAGGUAUAAAGCGGGGAACAAGGUUUUCUUCUGCUGCUCCAACGUGUCAAAGCUUCAGCCGAUUAGGUCACUUUGCACACUCAUUAAGUUAUUACC